rnacentral:rRNA from 1 species
GACGAACGCUGGCGGCGCGCUUAACACAUGCAAGUCGAACGGAAAGGCCUGCUUUCCCUUGUGGAUUGCGGGUACUCGAGUGGCGAACGGGUGAGUAACACGUGAGUGAUCUGCCCCAACUUGGGUAUAAGCCUGGGAAACUGGGUCUAAUUCCCGAUAGGACUGCAGGGUGGUGCCUGUGGUGGAAAACGAUUUUCUAGUGGUUGGGGAUGAGCUCGCGGCCUAUCAGCUUGUUGGUGGGGUAAUGGCCUACCAAGGCGGCGACGGGUAGCCGGCCUGAGAGGGUGGACGGCCACAUUGGGACUGAGAUACGGCCCAGACUCCUACGGGAGGCAGCAGUGGGGAAUAUUGCACAAUGGGCGGAAGCCUGAUGCAGCGACGCCGCGUGGGGGAUGACGGCCUUCGGGUUGUAAACUCCUUUCGACCGCGAGGAAGCCACCUGGUUGGAAGGGUGGUGACGGUAGUGGUAGAAGAAGCACCGGCUAACUACGUG